UACGUAGGGUGCAAGCGUUAAUCGGAAUUACUGGGCGUAAAGCGUGCGCAGGCGGUUUUGUAAGUCUGUCGUGAAAUCCCCGGGCUCAACCUGGGAAUUGCGAUGGAGACUGCAAGGCUAGAAUCUGGCAGAGGGGGGUAGAAUUCCACGUGUAGCAGUGAAAUGCGUAGAGAUGUGGAGGAACACCGAUGGCGAAGGCAGCCCCCUGGGUCAAGAUUGACGCUCAUGCACGAAAGCGUGGGGAGUAAACAGG
rnacentral:rRNA from 1 species